AUCUGAAAAUAAAAAUCACAUCGAUCUCAUUAAUACUAAAGUUCUAGAUCUAACUAUUAGAUCUACCAUAGGAAUCAAAAUAAGUUAGAGAUCGUUACCAAACAAAUUUUGAUCUUGAUCUCCUCUGGUCCAAUGGUUGGAGAGGGUGUUCCUCAAGUCGCUUGUAGCCACAUGAACUUGUCUGACCUCUAUAGAAAAAUCCACGCGAAGACUGGCAC
rnacentral:lncRNA from 1 species